rnacentral:rRNA from 11 species
ACGGGUGAGUAACACGUGAGUAACCUGCCCUUGACUCUGGGAUAAGCCUGGGAAACUGGGUCUAAUACCGGAUAUGACUCCUCAUCGCAUGGUGGGGGGUGGAAAGCUUUUGUGGUUUUGGAUGGACUCGCGGCCUAUCAGCUUGUUGGUGGGGUAAUGGCCUACCAAGGCGACGACGGGUAGCCGGCCUGAGAGGGUGACCGGCCACACUGGGACUGAGACACGGCCCAGACUCCUACGGGAGGCAGCAGUGGGGAAUAUUGCACAAUGGGCGCAAGCCUGAUGCAGCGACGCCGCGUGAGGGAUGACGGCCUUCGGGUUGUAAACCUCUUUCAGUAGGGAAGAAGCGUAAGUGACGGUACCUGCAGAAGAAGCGCCGGCUAACUACGUGCCAGCAGCCGCGGUAAUACGUAGGGCGCAAGCGUUAUCCGGAAUUAUUGGGCGUAAAGAGCUCGUAGGCGGUUUGUCGCGUCUGCUGUGAAAGACCGGGGCUCAACUCCGGUUCUGCAGUGGGUACGGGCAGACUAGAGUGCAGUAGGGGAGACUGGAAUUCCUGGUGUAGCGGUGAAAUGCGCAGA